GUGUCAGCAGCCGCGGUAAUACGGAGGUGGCAAGCGUUGUUCGGAAUUACUGGGCGUAAAGGGCGCGUAGGCGGCUAUUCAAGUCAGAUGUGAAAGCCCCGGGCUCAACCCGGGAACUGCAUCUGAAACUGUAUAGCUUGAGUUCUGGAGGGGGUAGUGGAAUUCCCAGUGUAGCGGUGAAAUGCGUAGAUAUUGGGAGGAACACCUGCGGCGAAGGCGGCUACCUGGACAGUGACUGACGCUGAGGCGCGAAAGCUAGGGGAGCGAACGGGAUUAGAUACCCCGGUAGUCC
rnacentral:rRNA from 1 species